rnacentral:rRNA from 1 species
AGGGGACCUUCGGGCUUUUCGCUAACAGAUGAGCCUGCGUUGGAUUAGUUAGUUGGUGGGGUAAGGGCCCACCAAGGCGACGAUCCAUAGCUGGUCUGAGAGGACGAUCAGCCACACUGGGACUGAGACACGGCCCAGACUCCUACGGGAGGCAGCAGUGGGGAAUAUUGGACAAUGGGCGCAAGCCUGAUCCAGCAAUACCGCGUGUGUGAAGAAGGCCCUAGGGUUGUAAAGCACUUUCAAUUGGGAGGAAAACCCACCGGCCAAUACCCGGUGGCUUGACAUUACCUUUAGAAGAAGCACCGGCUAACUCCGUGCCAGCAGCCGCGGUAAUACGGAGGGUGCGAGCGUUAAUCGGAAUUACUGGGCGUAAAGCGUGCGUAGGCGGCCCGUUAAGUCAGAUGUGAAAGCCCCGGGCUCAACCUGGGAACUGCAUUUGAAACUGGCGGGCUAGGGUUUGGUAGAGGGGAGCGGAAUUUCAGGUGUAGCGGUGAAAUGCGUAGAUAUCUGAAGGAACACCAGUGGCGAA